UGGGAUGAGGUAGUAGGUUGUAUAGUUUUAGGGUCACACCCACCGCUGGGAGAUAACUAUACAAUCUACUGUCUUUCCUA
ensembl:miRNA oar-let-7a oar-let-7a